UUUCUACUCCCUCCGUCCGAAAAUACUUAUCAUCAAAAUGGAUAAAAAGAGAUGUAUCUAAAACUAAAAUACGUCUAGAUACAUUUCCUUUUAUCCAUUUUGAUGACAAGUAUUUCCGGACGGAGGGAGUAUUNA
rnacentral:pre_miRNA from 1 species